rnacentral:rRNA from 1 species
GUCUCUUUGUAUUGAAUAUAUUAAAUAUAAAGAGUCGGACCUGCCCGGUGACUAUAUUGUUAAACGGCCGCGGUACCCUAACCGUGCAAAGGUAGCAUAAUCAUUUGCCUUUUAAUUGGAGGCUGGUAUGAAUGGUUUGACGAGAGCUAAGCUGUCUCUUUUAAAAUAUAUAAAAAUUAACUUUUAGGUGAAGAGGCCUAAAUUUAUUUAAGGGACAAGAAGACCCUGUUGAGCUUUAGUAAAAUUAUAAAUAUUUAAUGUUUAGGUGACUUUAGUGUAUACUAGUGUACAGCGGUAUUUUAUAAUUAAUCUUUAGUUGGGGCGACUGAGGAACAUAUAAAGCUUCCUUGUGAUAAAUCAAUAGAUUCAGUAGGGAUUGUUUUAAUGCUAUCAUGUUAUUUUGAUCCAGAUUGUUUUGAUUAAAGGAAAAAGUUACCACAGGGAUAACAGCGUAAUCUUUCUGGAGAGAUCUUAUCGAAAGAAGGGUUUGCGACCUCG